UUGGACACCACACCACCUCUUCCGUCCCGUUCCGUUUCUCCUUCCCCCUCCCAUCUCCAAACAAAUCCCCAGCGCACAAGCACGGAGCGUCUCCACCCACACCCCGCCCCGCCGCGAAUUCCGAGGCGCCCCUCCGAUCCGCCCUCCCUGCCGCGUCCCUGGAAUACUCUCGAGUAGAGAUAGCAUCAGUAGUUUCCCCGGCUUCUCGGCAGUCCGCAUCCAUCCGCCGCCGCUCUCUCCUCCGCUCGCCCUCGCUCGGCGCAUCCUCCUCCCCAAGCCCAGCGCGAGCCGCCGCCGCGAGGAUGGAUGUCCGCUGUGAUUUGUGCGGGCGCAAUUUCUCCGACUUAGUUCAAAAUUUUCAGGCUCAUUUGCGCGACAAAAAACCCGGGCGCGCGCAGGAAGCGGCUGCAAAUGGAUGUCAUCAAUGUGAGCAUCGUCUGGGCCGCAUGCCGCUAUCAUCAUCAAGCGCCGGACCAUCAACACGGACAUCAACAAGGCGGUCAACAGGUCCAAUCUCCGGGACAUCAACAAUGUCGCAAGACAACGAGCCAUUAACAAUGCCUUCCAUCGACAAAAAUUUCAUUUGGUCUCCACAUGACAGGGAUGCACUUAUUGACCUCUUUUCCUCUUUUAAGAAUCGAAAAGGUAGGCUGCCAAACACGAGCGAGAUAAGGAAGAUCAUUACUCAUGCUGUUUUUCAAGAUCAAAGAUGUUAUGAAGAUGGGAGAGUUUUAAACAAAGUGAAGUCAUUAAAAAGACAAGGCAAAGAUCUGCACAAGAAGAGAAGACGUCUUACUCCCUCUGAAUCUCGUCUCUAUGAACGUCUGAACCAAAUCUGGCCAGCCUAAAGUUUAUUGGACGAAUUGGAGCAACUUCUUAAAGGAAUUGGCUAUGAUGAUAGCCGGCCCAUCAAUUGCAUUGAUGAAGGAGGGCUAAUCAACAUAGCAGGUUUAUUUUGGGUGCUGGGCUUCUUUGGAAACACCGAAACGCUUGUGUGUUUGAAGGAGACCGCCCAAAUUUGGACAGGUUACUGCAGGCGUUCAAGGAUGAACACCACUUGUGGUGUCUGGCAGGGGCUCGAAGCCUCAGCUCCUUGAGUGCUGGUCAAGUGUUCGGACUAGGCUAGUUCCUAGUCCUUGUUAGUAGUCUCGGGUCAAGCUUUUGUUUUUUUCUUAGGCAACAACAUCAUAGUGUAUCACAGCCCCUCACAGCUCGGCUCGGAGUGAGGUGUGCUAGUUUGUAAGGGGCCGGUUUAUUCUCUCUAUUAAUACAAAGACACGCAGCUCUCCUGCGUAUUCGAGAAAA